CUAGACCCAGACUAGAAGGAGACUAUUCUGUAAAAGGAAGCUUACUGGAAUUCCUCUGAGGGGUGGGACUCCCAUGGUCUCCAGUAUUGCCAGCGGAGGAUCAUCAGGAUAGUCUCUUCCUCUGGUGUAACAAUGUCCUGGAAUAAAGAAGAUCCUGAUAGGAGUGAUGAAUGUGGCCAGAUCAGAUCAAAGGUCUCAGACCACGCUGGAGUAUGAGGAAGGUCCACCUGCGGAAACUGUCAGUACCAGAGCUUCCCCACUCACACUGGAAGUCAGAGCCACAUGGGACAGUGUUGAUACAGGUACAACAUCGGAUCUAGACCUGGAUAAGAGCACCGCAAGCUAUUUAUCUUGAGUCUUUGCCAUCAGAGCUGUCAGAUCCCUACCCUUGCACACCACCAUCUCCUGCAGAGAUUUGCUUUGGUCUUAAUCCUUAGUGUCUGUUGGAAUUAAUAAUUUCAAAUAUUGUUAAUAUUCUGGGAACUCAAAACACCAAUGUAACCAUGAAUUUCUUUAUUAAAUCUGAAAGCAAAAAUGGUACUUUAUGCAGUUGCUCUAAACAUGUCUAACAUCCUAAAAAUAAGCAGUUAUACAUCCAAUACAGUAUUAAUAUUUAUAAGCAUGUGAUCAGUAUACUUACAAAUAGGCCAAAUCUAGGGAUGACCAUCUCAUUCUGGCAUGCUCCAGCAUGAUCAGGUAGGGUCUGACAAAACCUUCAGAUUCAUGGCUCUCUUUAUACCCUUCAGCUAACUAGCUUUAGCAAAAACCUAGUUUGAAGCAGUUUAUCUGUGCUUCUUUCCAUUCUCCAAGGCCUUCUCUUAUCUUCUUUCUGCCCCCUCCCAGCCGUGCUUAGCAGAACAGUGGGAAGGUUUGGGUUUGUUUCUUGAGACAAUUUUUGUCAUAUUACUGUAGCUUUUAUUUUAUAAUUAUUUUUGAAACCGUAUAUCCUUCCCACAUUAAAGUAACACUACUUACUAGUCUCACGGCUUUCAUUUAUUUGCUGAUUGGGGCCUUCUUUCUACGGGCCAUGAACCAUAAAGUGAAAGGUUUUUUCCCUUAACCAAAUUUAAGAUGCUCUAAUUUUUAUCAUCAUCCUACAGCACCUGUGCACGCAGUCUCUCACGACUUUGCCUGAGUCAGGGAGGAAUCCUAUCUCUUCAUGACAGUUUUUGACAAAGAUGACUUUUCCUUGUAUCUAUGAAAGUGCCCCUUACUCUCAUGUGAAGCCUCUCCUUAGUCUUACCAGUUUUAGCUUCCAUUCCUGAAGUCAUGCUUGGAGAGAUGCAGCCUGCUUCCUGAGACUGAUGUAUAGGUCAGGGGAGGAGGUUCCCAAGCCAAACCUGAUUGUGGUCUCGCUACCUUCUCCACCAGAUAUUUUCUAAAUUUUAGUUACUGACCCUCAAGUUCUCGGCAGAAAAGAAUGGCAGAUGCUGCAGUUGAAAGAGAUAUGAACCUCACCAGGCAACAGAGGCAGCGUUGAUGGUUGUUGCUCGCAGAAAACAGUUUUGGAACACCAGGACCCUGGGCAUAAUCCCAGACUUCUGAAGCGGAAAAAUUCUCCAGGGAAGGGAGAAACUAACUACACUGUGCUAGAAUAGACUAUAAAAAUGAAGGUAUAUACCAAGGGUUGGCAACCUUCAGCACACAGCCCAUCAGGGUAAUCCGCUGGCGGGCUGCGAGACGUUUUGUUUAUGUAGAUCGUCUGCAGGCAUGGCCCCCUGCCGCUCCCAGUGGCUGCGGUUCACCGUUCCCAGCCAAUAUAUUUAGAGCAAUGAUAUAGUAGAAAGAAUCUUUCUUGUCCUGAGAUCCUGACUCAGAUUAUGCCACGGUAAGAAGGAACUGGAGAGGCCUUAGCCCACACUACUCUUUGUGCCCUUGUUUCAGAGCAUAAGGAAAGAUAUGGCACAUAUAUGGGCCAACAGAUACUACUUGUAAAAUCCUGGGCUCAGGCACAUGCAUAUCCAUUGGUGGAGUACACAAGGACCACCACUCAAAGAAGAAUCUAGUCGUAGCACUACCUAUAUAUUAGACCCACCAACGCUUGAAUAUUUUAAGUCUUUUUUUUUUUAAAGUUCUUAUAAACAAUUGUGUUGUUUGAGUGAGUCACAUAACAUCGUUUCUUUGAACUGACAAGCAUGAACCCGUUUGAGGGUGAAGAGACUUUUUACAGGUGCUUCUGUGCCUUUUCCACCUAUAUCAUCCUGAGCAAUAGCUUGAGCAAAAACUGGUAUUUAAGCAAUUGCAUUUCUAAAGGUUUUUUGAAGUGGGGUUUAAGAUUGUUGGACAAUGCCAAGAAAGUGUCCCUACUGCCCCCAAUAGCCUCAAAAAAGCAUGAAUGAUAAACACCUUAACCAUUCCUGCACAAGACACGUCUUUGAUUAAUCAGGAGGAAAGUGAUCUAGCUUCACCAUGAAGGUAGACAAAGUUUUAAAAAGGUUCCUUCACAUUCAGUAUUUUCAAAAGUACAAUAUCUAAACAAGAGUUAGGAGGUUUUAGCUAAGAUCCCCUCCUCUAAGGUCACCCACUGCUUCUUAAAGACUUAGAAGGGCUGAUACAGGAAAUGCAGUUCUCUAAAGAAACAUGACUUGAAACGAGAAUCAAUGGGCUCAUUAAAAAUAAAGUAAAAAUCUUGAGCAAAAUAGAAGAACUGACCAGAGAACAGGAGGGAAAGCACAGUUUUUUAAAAAGUGAACGGUACAGAGUUUAAGCGUAGAAGUUUCUGGUUAUCAGGGAAUAACAUACAGAUUAUCAAGGGGUACGAAGUUCAGUUUAAGAUCGGAUGGCAUAAGGAAUACAUAAUCUGCAAUAUUCCCCCAUUGGGAGUAAAAGGUUAACGGGUCAAAGUAUAGACAUUGAGAUCUGAGGGUAUAUUGUUCAGAUGAUGGCUAUGCUCGGGUGUGGAGUGUAAUGAGUGGAUACAAUGAUGAGGAUGGAUUGACCUUCAUUUGGUGAGAUUUAACGUUCAGUAAGUUUAUAGUUCCAGUUCAUAUGGUCCAACGGAAAAAGUCUCUUGCUCCCUUUCUUGUAGUCGAUGCACAGUAUCACUCCGACUCAUGCCUCCUGGUACUGUCGGUGGCCGGUGAUGUGUUCAGUGUAGACGUCCCUGGACCAUCAGAUGGUGUCUGAGACCAUGAGGUGCCGCAUUACUACAAGACAACAGUGUUGCGUUGCAGACCUUACUCAAGCAAAUCUCUCCUUCAUCUCAGUUGUCAUUUUGUUGAUAAGGAUGAUGCUUGAUAAGGAUGGUCUUUUUAUUUUUUCAUACUGUAGGAGUAACUGAAUCUUAUGACAAAUUAGUCUUCCUACAAAUAUCAGACUACGGUAU